AGAGAACUUUAAGAGUUAGCCAUUUCUUGACCGCCAGCUAAAUAAGCAGACUCUUAAUUCAUGUGAAAGUGUGGCAUUUUCUCUAACUCUUUCAAGUACAACAUUUGGAGGCCCCAGCGAGAAACGCCAUGAGGCGAGAGCCGGGCUCGCUCCGGGCUCCCCCAGAAGGACGGCCGGCUUGUUGGGGGGUGCCACCUAAAAAAAAUUUUCAGGUCCUCGAAAGGUGACCGUCUUCCAGAGGAGAGCGGAUCGACUACCGUGUGGGUGACCAUAAAAAUUCCACCUCUGAGUCCUCGACUUCUGACCCCAAGGUCAGGUAGGUCAGAUUUGACUUCAGUUCUAGUAAGAGGGAAGCGGCCCUGACGAGGGUGUCCCUCUUUUGACUCUGCCUGUUUAUCUAGGACGCUAGAAGGUAGAGCGCUGGCUUUCUGUUAGGCACCUCUGUGUCUCUUUCUAGGAGGGAAGAGGCCCUGACAGGGACCCUCCCUUGACUCAGUCCACAUCCCAGGAUGCUGGAGGACUGAGUCCUGGUUUCUGGCAGACCGGUCACUCUCUCUCUCUCUUUUUAUAUCUCUCAUCUUUCUCUUGUUCAAGUUUCUUGAAGAAUCUCCAAGAAAGAAAGAAAAAAAAACUGUUAUAUACUCUGUGUGAAUAAUGAAUGAAUGAGGGAGGACAAGGGCUUGCGCUUGUCCUCCAGUUUGUAGCUCCACGGCGAAAGCUACGGAGUUCAAGUAGACCCUCACCUGCGGUUCCUUGGCGACCUCAUAAGGCUUAAGGCAGCAUCAGGCAUAGCUUGAUCUGAGCCGCAAGUUUAUACCGGCCUGCCAAUGGUAAGAGGAGCCCAGGUCCCCUCAGGGGGAGUGGCCAGGCAGGCAUCUGACUGAUCCCAUCACAGGAAACCCUCUCCUUGUCUGUCUAAGAAAAAAAAAAAAGGAAGAAACUGUCAUAACUGUUUACAUGCCCUAAAGUCAACUGUUUGUUUUAUAUUGAUUGUUCUGUUCAGUGUCUAUUGUCUUGUUAGUAGUUGUCAAAGUUUUGCAUGUCAAGACGUUGAUAUUGCCCAAGACGUCUAAGUAAAAACUUCUUCAAAGUCCUUAGUGCUGAUUUUUUGUCACAGGAGGUUAAAUUUCUCAUCAAUCAUUUAGGCUGACCACCACAGUCCUGUCUUUUCUGCCAGAAGCAAGUCAAGUGUUGUUACAAGAACAAGUGUGAAAAACAUUUGCCUGAUUAAGAUUUCUAGCACCAUGAAAGUUCCCCAGGCUUUGACCUCUCUGACAGU
rnacentral:lncRNA from 1 species